AGCGCGUAGACUAUUUUUUUCGAUUUGGAAUAUCUGGUCUCUGCAUCUCGCAGAAUCUGGCUGGUGUAGUAUAUGAGAUUCUGAUAUUUUUCUUCUUCUUGGACUAGCACCGAGCUCACUGAGGUUGGAGAAACCGCAAAGUAUAAGUAGAGAGCUUCCCCAUACUGGGGCUUUGUUAGCAGAGGGGGACAGGUAGCGCCUGAGCUCUUCAAAGGCUUGCUGACACUCCUCGGACCAUACAAAGUUCUUUGGCCUCUUGAGGACCUUGAAGAAAGGGAUGCACCACUCUCCUGAUCCGGUGAUAAAUCUUCCGAGGGCAGCUAGCCACUGCACCUCUUUGACUGUCUUUGGCGGUGUUAUUUCUUACAGUUCUUGGAUCUUCUCAAGAUUCACUUCAAUCCCUCGUUGUGUCACCACGAAACCAAGGAACUUUUCCGAAGUGA
rnacentral:lncRNA from 1 species